CAGCAGCCGCGGGAAUACGAAGGGUGCAAGCGUUAAUCGGAAUUACUGGGCGUAAAGCGUGCGUAGGCGGUUUGUUAAGUCUGUUGUGAAAUCCCCGGGCUCAACCUGGGAAUGGCAAUGGAUACUGGCAAGCUAGAGUGUGUCAGAGGAUGGUGGAAUUCCCGGUGUAGCGGUGAAAUGCGUAGAGAUCGGGAGGAACAUCAGUGGCGAAGGCGGCCAUCUGGGACAACACUGACGCUGAGGCACGAAAGCAUGGGGAGCAAACAGGAUUAGAUACCCCCGUAGUCCCUGUCUCUUAUAA
rnacentral:rRNA from 1 species